AGAUUAAGUUAUUAAGGGCGCACGGUGGAUGCCUUGGCACUAGAAGCCGAUGAAGGACGUUACUAACGACGAUAUGCUUUGGGGAGCUGUAAGUAAGCUUUGAUCCAGAGAUUUCCGAAUGGGGAAACCCAGCAUGAGUUAUGUCAUGUUAUCGAUAUGUGAAUACAUAGCAUAUCAGAAGGCACACCCGGAGAACUGAAACAUCUUAGUACCCGGAGGAAGAGAAAGAAAAUUCGAUUCCCUUAGUAGCGGCGAGCGAAACGGGAAGAGCCCAAACCAACAAGCUUGCUUGUUGGGGUUGUAGGACACUCUGUACGGAGUUACAAAGGACGACAUUAGACGAAUCAUCUGGAAAGAUGAAUCAAAGAAGGUAAUAAUCCUGUAGUCGAAAAUGUUGUCUCUCUUGAGUGGAUCCUGAGUACGACGGAGCACGUGAAAUUCCGUCGGAAUCUGGGAGGACCAUCUCCUAAGGCUAAAUACUCUCUAGUGACCGAUAGUGAACCAGUACCGUGAGGGAAAGGUGAAAAGCACCCCGGAAGGGGAGUGAAAUAGAACCUGAAACCGUGUGCUUACAAGUAGUCAGAGCCCGUUAAUGGGUGAUGGCGUGCCUUUUGUAGAAUGAACCGGCGAGUUACGAUUUGAUGCAAGGUUAAGCAGUAAAUGUGGAGCCGUAGCGAAAGCGAGUCUGAAUAGGGCGUUUAGUAUUUGGUCGUAGACCCGAAACCAGGUGAUCUACCCUUGGUCAGGUUGAAGUUCAGGUAACACUGAAUGGAGGACCGAACCGACUUACGUUGAAAAGUGAGCGGAUGAACUGAGGGUAGCGGAGAAAUUCCAAUCGAACCUGGNGAUAGCUGGUUCUCUCCGAAAUAGCUUUAGGGCUAGCCUCAAGUGAUGAUUAUUGGAGGUAGAGCACUGUUUGGACGAGGGGCCCCUCUCGGGUUACCGAAUUCAGACAAACUCCGAAUGCCAAUUAAUUUAACUUGGGAGUCAGAACAUGGGUGAUAAGGUCCGUGUUCGAAAKGGAAACAGCCCAGACCMCCAGCUAAGGUCCCAAAAUAUAUGUUAAGUGGAAAAGGAUGUGGCGUUGCCCAGACAACUAGGAUGUUGGCUUAGAAGCAGCCAUCAUUUAAAGAGUGCGUAAUAGCUCACUAGUCGAGUGACACUGCGCCGAAAAUGUACCGGGGCUAAACAUAUUACCGAAGCUGUGGAUUGUCCUUUGGACAAUGGUAGGAGAGCGUUCUAAGGGCGUUGAAGCAUGAUCGUAAGGACAUGUGGAGCGCUUAGAAGUGAGAAUGCCGGUGUGAGUAGCGAAAGACGGGUGAGAAUCCCGUCCACCGAUUGACUAAGGUUUCCAGAGGAAGGCUCGUCCGCUCUGGGUUAGUCGGGUCCUAAGCUGAGGCCGACAGGCGUAGGCGAUGGAUAACAGGUUGAUAUUCCUGUACCACCUAUAAUCGUUUUAAUCGAUGGGGGGGACGCAGUAGGAUAGGCGAAGCGUGCGAUUGGAUUGCACGUCUAAGCAGUAAGGCUGAGUAUUAGGCAAAUCCGGUACUCGUUAAGGCUGAGCUGUGAUGGGGAGAAGACAUUGUGUCUUCGAGUCGUUGAUUUCACACUGCCGAGAAAAGCCUCUAGAUAGAAAAUAGGUGCCCGUACCGCAAACCGACACAGGUAGUCAAGAUGAGAAUUCUAAGGUGAGCGAGCGAACUCUCGUUAAGGA
rnacentral:rRNA from 1 species